ACAGUUUAGACAACCUUAACAACUUUAUGAAUCUUUUCUCAUACUUAAUUUACACUUAUUUAUACCCAAUUUAUUAGGUUUUGGAGUAAUCGCCACAAAACAUAUUGAGCCAGGAGAAUUCCUACUGGAGUAUGUUGGAAGACACAUGGCUGGAUCUGAAGGAGAGACCCUGCUCAAAGACUACUCAGCUGAAGAUGCAGUUUUUUUAUAUUUCUACUCCUUUCAGGGACAAUCUUACUGUGUUGAUGGCAGUAAAGCUACAGAAAAUCUCGGACGAUACAUAAAUGAUGACCACAUCAAGCCAAACAGCAAAAUUAAAAUAAUAAUGGAUGAAAAGAAAAUGCCACAUUUGUGUGUAUUUGCGUUAACAAAAAUCAAGCCAAUCAUACCAAAGAAAAAAUCAUACCAAAGCCUAUGGACUAGUAUGCAGGAGUGAUCCAGCUCUCAGAUUUCAUAAAAAAUAUCUUAAUUUGUGUUCGGAAGA